rnacentral:rRNA from 1 species
GACCGGACUAACCGUCCGUCGCCAGCACGCCGCGGUAAUACGGAGGGUGCGAGCGUUAAUCGGAAUUACUGGGCGUAAAGCGCAUGCAGGCGGCCUGUUAAGUCAGAUGUGAAAGCCCGGGGCUUAACCUCGGAAUUGCAUUUGAAACUGGCAGGCUAGAGUCUUGUAGAGGGGGUAGAAUUUCAGGUGUAGCGGUGAAAUGCGUAGAGAUCUGAAGGAAUACCAGUGGCGAAGGCGGCCCCCUGGACAAAGACUGACGCUCAGAUGCGAAAGCGUGGGGAGCAAACAGGAUUAGAUACCCUGGUAG